AAGGUUGGUUUAUCAGUUUUUGAAUAUGAGGGCAUGGAGAGAAAAUCAUUAAGUGUAUUCUCAGAGCACUCCUAGGAAGUAGGGUUGAAAGGAAAAUUUGAAAUGUCAUAAAUUUCCCAAGGGAUGAAAAUUCCAUUUCCCACCCAGCUCUAACCAAAGAACCGAGUGCACACUUUAAAACAGAAAUUGUGCAUCAGGAGUUUGAAAAGAUGUCUCAGCUUGUUUCUAUGAAUACACUGCAUCUUGCCUGCUCUUUUGAAUGAGGAAAAACAUUUUCUAUCAACUCUACCCUUUCUCGAAUGAACACAACCCUCUAGAUACCAGAGAAAGCAGAUGGCAUAGAUCCUCAGAGAUUCCAUGUCCUGUAAUUGAAGCCAGCUGGAGACGGAGGGAUUACACAAAAUGAAAAGCCACUGAUUACUCGCUACUUACUCAACACAGAGCCAACAAUUACUUUCAUCCUUCUCCUUUUAUUUACUCUUUUUAAGGACUUAUUAAGAUAAAAGAUGACAGCACCGCAGUACUGAGCCUUUUUGAUUACUUUCCUUACCAAACUGAAUGUAUU